CAUAGUCUUAAAUUAGAGGGACAAAGGUUUAAAAAUAAUAUCAGGAAGUAUUACUUUACUGAGAGGGUAGUGGAUGCAUUGAAUAGCCUUCCAGCUGAAGUGGUAGAGGUUAACACAGUAAAGGAGUUUAAGCAUGCGUGGGAUAGGCAUAAGGCUAUCCUAACUACAAGAUAAGGCCAGGGACUAAUGAAAGUAUUUAAAAAAUUGGGCAGACUUGAUGGGCCGAAUGGUUCUUAUCUGCCGUCACAUUCUAUGUUUCUUCUGUUAUUCUUAACAUCGGCCUGCUUACGUUUAUUUUGAGUCUGCUUGCAGACAUUCUGACUUAUUUUCUCUAGCCUCCACACUCUAAGGACCAUUAUGCAUUCCUGCCUUGUCUGUAACCUAGGUUUGUGAAUUAGAGUCAGGUCAGUCCUGACAAUCAUAAAGGACAUUAGUGCAGCAAUUCACCAACUAACCAUUUAACUGAUAAUGUCAACUGUUUGUACAUGUAUGGCUAUUUCCAUACUAUCUUUAAAAUCUUAUAAAAAAUCUUCAAAAACGUGGAAGAUGGUGCUGAAGAUGUACUUAAUGGACUAGUAUAUGUGGGGUACACAAAUGAAUGGAUGGGCAAUAAGUACUUGGAAAACUGAAGUUGAUGCUUAAGAUGGAGACAUAACUGGGAGAAUAGGGAAAUGGAACAAAGCAGCUGUGGGGAAUGUUAAUGGGGGCAAAAAAAUUGCCAAGUGGCUCAUUUACAUUAUACGCUGCCCUGUACCUGUUUGCUACUGUUGUUAAACCUUUUCAAUGAGAAAGCCAUCAAUGGUAUUUUAGUAUUCAUGUAUUUUGUGUGUAUAUUUCUUUUUGCUUAUAAUGUAAAGAACACUAUGGAAAGACAUAUAUUUCCAG